AGCGAACGCUGGCGGCAGGCUUAAUACAUGCAAGUCGAGGGGCAGCAGGACUGUAGCAAUACAGUUGCUGGCGACCGGCAAACGGGUGCGGAACACGUACGCAACUUACCCUUAACUGGGGGAUAGCCCGGGGAAACCCGGAUUAAUACCCCGUACAUAAUUUAAUGGCAUCCUUUAAUUUAUUAUGCCCCGGCGGUUAAGGAUGGGCGUGCGCCUGAUUAGGUAGUUGGCGGGGUAACGGCCCACCAAGCCUACGAUCAGUAACUGGUGUGAGAGCACGACCAGUCACACGGGCACUGAGACACGGGCCCGACUCCUACGGGAGGCAGCAGUAAGGAAUAUUGGUCAAUGGACGCAAGUCUGAACCAGCCAUGCCGCGUGAAGGAUGAAGGUCCUCUGGAUUGUAAACUUCUUUUAUAUGGGAAGAAAUCCCGGAAUUCUUUCUGGGUUGACGGUACCAUAGGAAUAAGCACCGGCUAACUCCGUGCCAGCCGCCGCCGUAACAC
rnacentral:rRNA from 1 species